rnacentral:rRNA from 1 species
UACGUUUUGAUUUUUAACUCUAUUUGUUGUAGUAUUUUAAAUUUUUAUGUAUUUUUUACUUUAUUUUUUGUAAAAUGUUUUAAUUUGAUUUUGUUUUUUUAAGAUAUUAAAAAUUUGGUUUUUGAACUGGAUUAGUACCCAGGUAAUCAAAGUUUAUUAAUUCGGGAGUAAAGUUUUGUUUAAACCGAAAAAAUAUUGACUGACCUUAGAUUUUUCUUUGGAAUAUGUGUUUUGCUGGAGAGCCCUCUUUUUUGGUGAAUUUUGUUGGCACAUGUAUGAUUGUUUAGUUUUUAUUUUAUUUUGUAAUGCUUUUUGUGUUGGCAUUUAAAACAGAUAUAUACUUGGCUUAUAAAUUUAUUUUUCAUGUGUUACUAUUAUAAAUUUUUUUUGGAUUAAUUUUUUAUUUUUUUUUUGAAAUUGGAAAAGAAAGUAAUUUUUUCUUAAUGUUUUGAUGAAUUUAAUAAAUAAGGU